CGCAAUGGGCGAAAGCCUGACGGAGCAAUACCGCGUGAGGGACGAAGGUCUGUGGAUUGUAAACCUCUUUUGUUGGGGAAGAUAAUGACGGUACCCAACGAAUAAGCAUCGGCUAACUCCGUGCCAGCAGCCGCGGUAAGACGGAGGAUGCAAGCGUUAUCCGGAAUUAUUGGGCGUAAAGCGUACGUAGGCUGUUAGAUAAGUCUGUUGUCAAAGCGCGAGGCUUAACCUUGUAAAGGCAAUGGAAACUGUUUGACUAGAGAGAGAAAGGGGCAGGAGGAAUUCCAGGUGUAGCGGUGAAAUGCGUAGAUAUCUGGAAGAACACCAGUGGCGAAAGCGUCCUGCUGGAUCUCAACUGACGCUGAAGUACGAAAGCUA
rnacentral:rRNA from 1 species